rnacentral:misc_RNA from 1 species
GUGACUUCUAGUUCUUCCUGGAGGCUUUCUAUUUCCAUUGCAAGAUUUGGUGUCAGUAUUAACAACUGCAAGUGAAGGUUGCCCUGUAAGCUUCUCUUCUUCCUGCCACUCAGAAUUUCUAUUAUUCAUCUCUGUCUUACCCUUUACAUUCAAACACUUUGCCCUUAGCAAAGCCUCUUUGCAUUCAAUCUCAUGCUCCAGUGAUUUUAUUCUCUUUCUCCCCA